GCUGGGCGUGGUGGUGCAUGCCUGUAAUUCCAGCUACUUGGGAGGCUGAGGCAGGAGAAUUGCUUGAACCCAGGAGGUGGAGGCUGCAGUGAGCCGAGAUUGUGCCACUGCACUCCAGCCUGGGUGACAGAGUGAGACUCUGUCUCAA
ensembl:misc_RNA Metazoa_SRP Metazoan signal recognition particle RNA